rnacentral:rRNA from 1 species
UACGAAGGGGGCUAGCGUUGCUCGGAAUUACUGGGCGUAAAGGGCGCGUAGGCGGAUAUUUAAGUCGGGGGUGAAAGCCCAGGGCUCAACCCCUGGAAUUGCCUUCGAUACUGGAUAAUCUUGAGUACGGGAGAGGUGUGUGGAACUCCGAGUGAUAGAGGUGAAAGUUCGUAGAUAUUCGGAAGAACACCAGUGGCGAAGGCGACACACUGGCCCGUUACUGACGCUGAGGCGCGAAAGCGUGGGGAGCAAACAGG